rnacentral:rRNA from 1 species
UUACCGAGUGAGGGCCCUCUGGGUCCAACCUCCCACCCGUGUUUAUUUUACCUUGUUGCUUCGGCGGGCCCGCCUUAACUGGCCGCCGGGGGGCUCACGCCCCCGGGCCCGCGCCCGCCGAAGACACCCUCGAACUCUGUCUGAAGAUUGAAGUCUGAGUGAAAAUAUAAAUUAUUUAAAACUUUCAACAACGGAUCUCUUGGUUCCGGCAUCGAUGAAGAACGCAGCGAAAUGCGAUACGUAAUGUGAAUUGCAAAUUCAGUGAAUCAUCGAGUCUUUGAACGCACAUUGCGCCCCCUGGUAUUCCGGGGGGCAUGCCUGUCCGAGCGUCAUUGCUGCCCUCAAGCCCGGCUUGUGUGUUGGGCCCCGUCCUCCGAUCUCCGGGGGACGGGCCCGAAAGGCAGCGGCGGCACCGCGUCCGGUCCUCGAGCGUAUGGGGCUUUGUCACCCGCUCUGUAGGCCCGGCCGGCGCUUGCCGAUCAACCCAAAUUUUUAUCCAGGUUGACCUCGGAUCAGGUAGGGAUACCCGCUGAACUUAAGCAUAUCAAUAAGCGGAGGAAAAGAAACCAACAGGGAUUGCCCCAGUAACGGCGAGUGAAGCGGCAAGAGCUCAAAUUUGAAAGCUGGCUCCUUCGGGGUCCGCAUUGUAAUUUGCAGAGGAUGCUUCGGGAGCGGUCCCCAUCUAAGUGCCCUGGAACGGGACGUCAUAGAGGGUGAGAAUCCCGUA